AGUCAAUAGAUACCCGGGUAGUCCCAGCAGUAAACGGUGCGCGUUUGGUGUGAGCAGAUUCGACUCUGUUCGCGCCGGAGCUAACGCGUUAAACGCGCCGCCUGGGAAGUACGAUCGCAAGAUUAAAACUCAAAGAAAUUGACGGGGGCCGCACAAGCGGUGGAGUAUGUGGCUUAAUUCGAUGCAACGCGAAGAACCUUACCUGGGUUUGACAUGCAUCUCUAAGGAGGUGAAAGCUUCCGAGGGUAGCAAUACCCGAUUUGCACAGGUGCUGCAUGGCUGUCGUCAGCUCGUGUCGUGAGAUGUUGGGUUUAAGUCCCGCAACGAGCGCAACCCUUGUAUGCUGUUGCCAUGAUUACUCAUGGCUCUCUGCGUAGACUGCCCCGUGAAACGGGGAGGAAGGUGGGGAUGACGUCAAGUCAGCAUGGCCCUUACACCCAGGGGCUGCACACGUACUACAAUGCUCAGUACAAUUAGAACCUGCCCCGCGA
rnacentral:rRNA from 1 species